CACGUCAUUAAAGUGCUGGUUAAGGUUAGGAAUAAGGUUAUGGUUAGGCUUAGGGAUAAGGUUAGGUUUAGGGCUGCAAUACAGGGCUGGAACCCGCCGCGUACCAUAACAACGUGGAAGGUCACCUUUCGCGUUCCUCAGGAACGCCGCGGGACGUGACAAAAUGUCGGGAUGUUACGCCUCGGGAGUGAGAACGGGCUCAAAUGGCUCAUUGGGACAUAGGGUUUAAUUUAAAGGUUUCUAUCACCUAAUAUCGAGUGUCAAACAAUAUCAAAGCUGUAAAAGCUGUUUACAGUCAGAAUUUAUAAAAACUAUGAUUGUAAAUAAAUUCAAACAAGUGAGCUUUUCUCUUUGUGUUGAAUAUAAACACUGUGACUUCUUAGCCUGUAAGCUU
ensembl:lncRNA